rnacentral:rRNA from 1 species
AUGAAUUUUCUCGUUUGGAACUGUCAGGGCUUGGGGUUGGACCCGACAGUAGGAGAACUAAGGGAUCUGAUUAGAUCAUACAACCCAGCGGUGGUGUUCUUGAGCGAGACUAAGAAGAAGGCGCGAGCGAGGGAGAACAUCAAGUGGAGUUUGGGGUUCCGGCAGGGUGUUGCUGUGGACUGUGAGGGCAGGAGUGGCGGGUUGGCUUUACUUUGA